rnacentral:rRNA from 1 species
AUACGGAGGGUGCAAGCGUUACUCGGAAUCACUGGGCGUAAAGCGCGCGCAGGCGGGCUGAUAAGUUGGAUGUGAAAGCCUACGGCUCAACCGUAGAACUGCAUCCAAAACUGUCAGUCUAGAGUGUGGGAGAGGAAGAUGGAAUUAGUUGUGUAGGGGUAAAAUCCGUGGAGAUAACUAGGAAUACCAAAAGCGAAGGCAAUCUUCUGGAACACUACUGACGCUGAGGCGCGAAGGCGUGGGGAGCAAACAGGAUUAGAAACCCCAGUAGUCCC